rnacentral:rRNA from 1 species
GUGGGGAAUUUUGGACAAUGGGCGCAAGCCUGAUCCAGCCAUGCCGCGUGCGGGAAGAAGGCCUUCGGGUUGUAAACCGCUUUUGUCAGGGAAGAAAUCUUUUGGGAUAAUACCCCAGAAGGAUGACGGUACCUGAAGAAUAAGCACCGGCUAACUACGUGCCAGCAGCCGCGGUAAUACGUAGGGUGCAAGCGUUAAUCGGAAUUACUGGGCGUAAAGCGUGCGCAGGUGGUUGUGCAAGACAGAUGUGAAAUCCCCGGGCUUAACCUGGGAACUGCAUUUGUGACUGCACAGCUGGAGUGCGGCAGAGGGGGAUGGAAUUCCGCGUGUAGCAGUGAAAUGCGUAGAUAUGCGGAGGAACACCGAUGGCGAAGGCAAUCCCCUGGGCCUGCACUGACACUCAUGCACGAAAGCGUGGGGAGCAAACAGGAUUAGAUACCCUUGUAGUCC